AGAGACAGAAGCAGAGGAGCAGAUCUGCCAGCAGCUGGUUCACGCCCCAGAUGGCCAGAACUCAAUGCCGGUCUCCCACGUGGGCAGCAGGCCUCCGACUACUUGAGCCACCUCCGGCCGCUGGGGGCCCAGGUGCUCCGACGGGGGCUGCAGCUGUCCCAGGCAGCAGCUUCGCUUGCAGAGAAGAGCGCCUCAGCCGUGACCCCUGCCUGUCCGCUCGCGAGGGCAUGGCCCUCCCCUCCAUGCAGGGCCUCUUUCUUCUCAAGGAUCCAGAAACAGAGGCUGAAGAGCUGGCGUGGGAGCUGUGCGUGUGUGCACGUGAACCCCCGGCUGCUCCUCGGGCAGCCUGGGGCAAGGCCUGGCUCCAGGGGCCCAGCCCAGCUUCCUGGGAGGCAGCGGAAGAUGGCUCGAGUGCUUGGACCCCUUCCACCCACGUGGGAGACCCGGAUGGAGUUUCAGGCUCCUGGCCUCAGCCUGGCCCAGCCCUGGCCGUUGCAGGCAUUUGGAGAGAGAACCAGCAGAUGGAAGAUCUCUCACCAUCUCUCCUUUACUCUCUGUCACUCUGCCUUUCCAAUAAAUAAAUCUUUAAACAAAACAAAACAAGAAAGUGACUCCAAGGAGUUCAGAAUAAUGAAACACCACGGAUGUUGCCAAGGAGGCCAUUUCCUUAGCUCCAUCCCUUCCCCAGUGCAAAUCUGCUUCUGAUCACUGUGCAUCCGGCGUGGGACGGCACCGCAGAGCACGGGGAGACCGCAUCGCUGGCCACCUGCUGCGCACCGUGGCGGCCACGGCCCUGGCUGGGGUGCUGCUGCCCCGUCUUUUUUUUUUUUUAAAUAUUUUAUUUAUUUA